rnacentral:rRNA from 1 species
UGGGGAAUAUUGCACAAUGGGCGCAAGCCUGAUGCAGCCAUGCCGCGUGUGUGAAGAAGGCCUUCGGGUUGUAAAGCACUUUCAGCGGGGAGGAAGGCGUUAAGGUUAAUAACCUUGGCGAUUGACGUUACCCGCAGAAGAAGCACCGGCUAACUCCGUGCCAGCAGCCGCGGUAAUACGGAGGGUGCAAGCGUUAAUCGGAAUUACUGGGCGUACAGCGCACGCAGGCGGUCUGUCAAGUCGGAUGUGAACUCCCCGGGCUCAACCUGGGAACUGCAUUCGAAACUGGCAGGCUAGAGUCUUGUAGAGGGGGGUAGAAUUCCAGGUGUAGCGGUGAAAUGCGUAGAGAUCUGGAGGAAUACCGGUGGCGAAGGCGGCCCCCUGGACAAAGACUGACGCUCAGGUGCGAAAGCGUGGGGAGCAAACAGG